AUUGAACGCUGGCGGCAGGCCUAACACAUGCAAGUCGAGCGGAUGAAGGGAGCUUGCUCCUGGAUUCAGCGGCGGACGGGUGAGUAAUGCCUAGGAAUCUGCCUGGUAGUGGGGGAUAACGUCCGGAAACGGGCGCUAAUACCGCAUACGUCCUGAGGGAGAAAGUGGGGGAUCUUCGGACCUCACGCUAUCAGGUGAGCCUAGGUCGGAUUAGCUAGUUGGUGGGGUAAGGCCUACCAAGGCGACGAUCCGUAACUGGUCUGAGAGGAUGAUCAGUCACACUGGAACUGAGACACGGUCCAGACUCCUACGGGAGGCAGCAGUGGGGAAUAUUGGACAAUGGGCGAAAGCCUGAUCCAGCCAUGCCGCGUGUGUGAAGAAGGUCUUCGGAUUGUAAAGCACUUUAAGUUGGGAGGAAGGGCAGUAAGUUAAUACCUUGCUGUUUUGACGUUACCAACAGAAUAAGCACCGGCUAACUUCGUG
rnacentral:rRNA from 1 species